rnacentral:lncRNA from 1 species
AAAUGCUGCACACAUAGGAGUUAGUAUAAUUCAGAAAUUUAGUCUGUAUUGCAUUUGGAAAUAAUUUUGUGAAGGUUAUUCAUGCAGCAUUAUUAAUAAUUGCAAAAUAUUGGAAACCAUAUAAAUGACCAGUUCUAGAAGAUUGGUUGAAUAUACUCUGGAACAUACAAUAGACUACUAUGUUUAUAAAAGCUAUCUGUUUUUAUAAAUAUAUGGAGUAAUUUCCAGGAAAUAUUACAUGAAACAAAAAGCAGAAACAAAUACCCAUAGUGCUACUUGUCAUACAAGAAAAAGGGAGAAUUAAAGAAUGUGUAUGUUCAGGAAGGAUAAAGCAGAAAACAGGAGUGAGACUUGGAUAUUGGGGUAUACUUUCUUGGCAUAGUUUCAACUUUUGAAAGCAUGUUAAUGUCCAA